rnacentral:rRNA from 1 species
CUUACCAAGACGAUGAUGUGUAGCUGGACUGAGAGGUCGAACAGCCACAUUGGGACUGAGACACGGCCCAAACUCCUACGGGAGGCAGCAGUAAGGAAUUUUUGGCAAUGGAGGAAACUCUGACCGAGCGACGCCGCGUGAACAAUGAAGUACUUCGGUAUGUAAAGUUCUUUUAUUGAAAAAGAAAAAAUAGUGGAAAAACUAUCUUGACAUUAUUCAAUGAAUAAGCCCCGGCUAAUUAUGUGCCAGCAGCCGCGGUAAUACAUAAGGGGCGAGCGUUAUCCGGAAUUAUUGGGCGUAAAGGGUGCGUAGGCGGUUUGAUAAGUCUAUAGUUUAAAUGCAGUGCUUAACGCUGUAGCGCUAUAGAAACUGUCUGACUAGAGUUAGAUAGAGGCAAGCGGAAUUCCAUGUGUAGCGGUAAAAUGCGUAAAUAUAUGGAGGAACACCAGAGGCGUAGGCGGCUUGCUGGGUCUUAACUGACGCUGAGGCACGAAAGCGUGGGGAGCAAACAGGAUUAGAUACCCUGGUAGUCCACGCCGUAAACGAUGAGUACUAAGUGUCGGGUUUCGACUCGGUACUGAAGUUAACACAUUAAGUACUCCGCCUGAGUAGUACGUACGCAAGUAUGAAACUUAAAGGAAUUGACGGGACCCCGCACAAGCGGUGGAUCAUGUUGUUUAAUUCGAAGAUACACGAAAAACCUUACCAGGUCUUGACAUAAUUUUGCGACAUUAUAGAAAUAUAAUGAAGGUUAUCAGAAUUACAGGUGGUGCAUGGUUGUCGUCAGCUCGUGUCGUGAGAUGUUAGGUUAAGUCCUAAAACGAGCGCAACCCUUGUCGUUAGUUGCGACCACGUAAUGGUGAGCACUUUAGCGAGACUGCCAAUGAAAAAUUGGAGGAAGGUGAGGAUUACGUCAAAUCCUCAUGCCCCUUAUGAUCUGGGCUACAAACGUG